rnacentral:rRNA from 1 species
AUCUUGGUUCGGGACGAACGCUGGCGGCGUGCCUAAUACAUGCAAGUCGAACGGCUUUUCUAUGGAAGCUUGCUUCCACUGAGAAGACAGUGGCGAACGGGUGAGUAACACGUGGGUAACCUGCCCAUAAGAGGGGGAUAACAUCCGGAAACGGGUGCUAAUACCGCAUAGUUUUCUUGAUCGCAUGAUCGGGAAAGGAAAGACGGCCUUUGUGCUGUCGCUUAUGGAUGGACCCGCGGCGUAUUAGUUAGUUGGUGAGGUAACGGCUCACCAAGACGAUGAUACGUAGCCGACCUGAGAGGGUGAUCGGCCACAUUGGGACUGAGACACGGCCCAAACUCCUACGGGAGGCAGCAGUAGGGAAUCUUCCGCAAUGGACGAAAGUCUGACGGAGCAACGCCGCGUGAGUGAAGAAGGUUUUUCCGGGAUCGUAAAACUCUGUUGUCAGAGAAGAACAAGUUGGAGAGUAACUGCUCCAGCCUUGACGGUAUCUGACCAGAAAGCCACGGCUAACUACGUGCCAGCAGCAGC